rnacentral:rRNA from 1 species
UACGUAGGGGGCAAGCGUUGUCCGGAAUCAUUGGGCGUAAAGCGCGUGUAGGCGGCCCGCUAAGUCCGCUGUGAAAGUCCAGGGCUCAACCCUGGGAUGCCGGUGGAUACUGUCGGGCUCGAGUCCGGAAGAGGAGUGUGGAAUUCCUGGUGUAGCGGUGAAAUGCGCAGAUAUCAGGAGGAACACCAAUGGCGAAGGCAGCACUCUGGGACGUGACUGACGCUGAGACGCGAAAGCGUGGGGAGCAAACAGG